GGAGGCCGAGUGCUGAGCCCCCAGGGUGGGCAUGGGGGGGCCGCUUCCUGUCAGCACCUGGUGCCUGCCCCUCCACACCAGCGCUCCCAGAAAAAGCCUGAUCCAAACUCAAGGAAGCAGCUGGACCUGUCCUGAGCAUGGGACACCACCGACAGGUGGGGGGACUCCAGAGGCCCCGGGUUGGCAAAGAUGGACUGUAGGAGGGGGCAUUGCAGAGGGAGAGCUCCAGGGUCAGGGCCACCUCCGACACGUCCAGUACCUUAGGAUCCCAGGACAGGCAAAAAGAAAUGCAACCCUGUAGCAUCAAGGACACGAUCGGGACAGUGGGGGACGUGGGUCGGGCCUGCUGGUCAGAGGACAGACUGAACUGUGUCAGGCGGUGGGGCGUGGCAACAGCACUGUGACUGCAGGAAGCCUGGCCCUCGGGAAGAGGCUCGGAUGGCCGUCAGGCUGCUGCAACUCACUGCAAAAAGCUGUGUGCGUGGACAUGGGAAUGUGCAUGCACCUGAGUGCCAACCUGCCCACGUGGACGUGUGUGCAUACUCCUGUGUGUGGACCUGCAUGUGCAUAGAUUUUGUGCACGUGUGAGUGUGUGCAGAUUUGUACGCAUGGCUGUGUGCGUGAAGGCAGGGGCAGGCAUGCAUGGGUGUAGAGGCUGUGCACACCACUGGAUGCCCACGUGUGUGACACGUGUGUGUGUGGACACAGACCUGGACCGAAGCAUCAGCUGCACCCAGAGAAAUGUGGCAAAUGGUGCCAGCUUCAAAACUGAAGUGAUGAUAAAGCAAGCGCCCCCAGAACCCCGGCAACCCGUCUGUGCCUGAACGUUCUGCACAAUUAAUAUUGCUAAAAUGGCCAUCGAAAGAGAGCUAGAGUCAAUGCAGUCUCCAUCAAAACUGCCAUGACAUUAGGGGCCGGGGAUUUAGCUCAGUGGUUCUGGCACCUGCCUCACAAGCGCAAGGUCCCAAGUUUGAUCCCCGGUACCACGCCCCCCCCCCAAAAAAACUGCAAAGACAGCCUGCACAGAAGUAGAAAACACAACCCUAAAUUCACCUGGAAAUACAAGACGCAGAAGAUCCAAAGCAAUGGUGAGGAAAAAAGGCAGGGGGAGGCACCACAAUAUCUGAUUUCAAACUAUACUAUAAAGCCACAGUAACAGAAACAGCAUAACACUCGUAUAAAAACAGGAGUGUGGGCCACUGGAACAGAACAGAGGACACAGGACCAAAUCCAUGCCACCACGGCCCUCUGAGUGUGGAGAAGGAGCUGAAAGCACACUGGAGAAGGGACAGCCUGUCUAACACACAGCCCAAGGGACACUGGACACCACACAUAGAAGAUUAAACUGGAUCCCUGUCUCUCACCUGUAUAAGAGUCAACUCAAGAUGCACGGAAGACCUAAGUAUAAGACCUGAAACCUUGGCACCGCUGGAAGGAAGCGGGAGACGUUUGAAGCCACAGGCACAGGGACAGGUGUCCUGCAGGACUCCGACACCACAAGAGCUAAGAGCGAGAAUCCAAUGGGACCGUGUCCAAUUAAAGUUUCCAGACAGCAAGGGAGACAACCAACAGAGUGAAGAGGCUGUCCACAGAGUGGGAGAAAGUCCUUCCCAGCUACUCUCCAACAGAGGAGGAAUACCCAGAUUCUAUAAAGAAAUAAAAACUAAUAAAAAACCAAUAAAUGGCAAAUGAAUUGAACAGACCCUUCAAAAGAACUACAAAUGGCCCAUAAGCAUGUGAAAAAAUGUACAUCUUUAGCCAUUAGGGAAAUGCAAAUCAAAACUACUUCAAGAGUCCAUCUCACCCCAGGCGGAAUAGAUAUCACCAAGAGCACAAAACACAGCUGGCAAAAGGAACCCUUAACGCUCCUGGUGGGUCUGCACUGCACUGCCACUGGGGACGUCAGUAUGAGCUUCCUCAAAAACUAGAACUACAGCUGCCCUGUGACCCAGCCGAAAUACACCCGAGGGAAUAAAGUCAGCACAUGGAGGGGACCCCUGUGCACCAUAUUUAUUGUGGCAAUAUUCACAACGGAGGAGAUACAGGCAGCCGGAGGGCCCACCAGCAGAUGAAUGGAUAAAGAAAUGCACACACAAUGGAGACUAUUCACCCAGAAAGAAUGAGAUUAUGUCAUGCGCAGAAAAUGAGAGAAACUUGAGAUCAUCACACUAAACAAACCUCCGGGAUGGUGUUGCACAGAAGUGCGGAGUGGACAUCCUGCCUUGCUCCUCAGCCUCCUGCCAUGAGGUCUGACGUGGCUCUUGGUGCUGCUCUGAUGUCCUUUAUUCAGCUGAUGAAGUUUCCCUCUAUUCCUAGUUUGGUGAGUGUUUUUCACUAAGUGUGCUGGAUUUUGUCAAAUGCCUAGUCUGGAUCUACUGAGGCCAUGUGACAAUUACUUCUCUAUGGACAGGAUGUGUGAGAUCGCCUUUCUGGUAUUAAACCAACCUUGCAUUCCUGGGCCAUGGUGCACAAUCCUGUUCAUGUUGCUGGAUUUGCUUCACUGGUAUUUUGUUAAUGUUUUCUGUGUCCAUAUUUAUAAGUAAAAUUGAUCUGUAGAUUUUUUGUUACAUUUCCUUCUGAUAUAGAAAUUAGGGUAAUAAUAAUGGUCUCAUAAAAUGAAUUGGGAAGUGUUCCAAGUUUGUGAAGAAUUGGUUUUAAUUCUUCUUUAAAUGUUUGGUAGAGUGAACAGUGAAGCUAUCUGGUCCUGUUUCUAGGCUUUUCUCUUUGGAUAGUUCUUGGAUUACUGAUUCUACUCUUUAGUUGUUAUACAUCCAUUAAAAGUAUUUCUUACCAAGUCA